rnacentral:rRNA from 1 species
GAUGAACGCUGGCGGCGUGCCUAAUACAUGCAAGUCGAGCGAACAGACGAGGAGCUUGCUUCUCUGACGUUAGCGGCGGACGGGUGAGUAAAACGUGGAUAACCUACCUAUAAGACUGGGAUAACCUCGGGAAACCGGAGCUAAUACCGGCUAAUAUUUUGAACAGCAAGGUUCAAUAGUGAAAGACGGUUUUGCUGUCACUUAUAGAUGGAUCCGCGCUGCAUUAGCUAGUUGGUAAGGUAACGGCUUACCAAGGCCACGAUGCGUAGCCGACCUGAGAGGGUGAUCGGCCACACUGGAACUGAGACACGGUCCAGACUCCUACGGGAGGCAGCAGUAGGGAAUCUUCCGCAAUGGGCGAAAGCCUGACGGAGCAACGCCGCGUGAGUGAUGAAGGUCUUCGGAUCGUAAAACUCUGUUAUUAGGGAAGAACAAAUGUGUAAGUAACUCUGCACGUCUUGACGGUACCUAAUCAGAAAGCCACGGCUAACUACGUG